rnacentral:rRNA from 1 species
UACGUAGGGUGCGAGCGUUAAUCGGAAUUACUGGGCGUAAAGCGUGCGCAGACGGUUGUGCAAGACAGAUGUGAAAUCCCCGGGCUUAACCUGGGAACUGCAUUUGUGACUGCACGGCUAGAGUGUGUCAGAGGGGGGUAGAAUUCCACGUGUAGCAGUGAAAUGCGUAGAUAUGUGGAGGAAUACCGAUGGCGAAGGCAGCCCCCUGGGAUAACACUGACGCUCAUGCACGAAAGCGUGGGGAGCAAACAGG